CUUGACUUCUCUCUAAGUUGUUGAAAAUUUAGAAGUGUGGUAGCAUAAAGUAUUCAGCUCAAGUGCUUUAGUGCCUUACUACCCUUGAAGCUUUAGAAGCUGUCAAUACAAUUGGGGUUUCAACAUGUAACCAUUUUGGAAAUUCUAAGAAGUGUAAGUAUUAUGGUUUUACAACUUUAUUAGACUAGAUAGGCAACUUCAAAUUGCUGAAUGCCCUGAAUUAAAAUCACUACUAGAAGGAACCCAUGAGCACUCUAUAGAAACUCAUAAUCCACUACUCUUGCCACUUAUUAAGAAUGCUAAAAGGAAAAAGUGAAGAUUGGCUUGAGCAUGAUUGAUUAAUAAACCACACAUGGUCUCCUUAAUUCAAGUGUGUCAUCUGUUAUAUGUUUCAUGUCAGUAAUCCUACAUUUCUCUUGUUUCUAUUGGCUCUAUUUUUUUUUUAAUUAUUUUACAAUCAAUCUUCUAACAAUGUUCUACUUUUUUUACAAUUUUAUUUUUUUUAUUCUAAAAUGAAUUAAGACAUAUAAAGAAAAAAAUCACCUUGUUUGAUUUUCAUAUACUAUAUGCUUAAAUGUACAUGUGUUAAAAUCUUUUGAUUUUUUAUUGAUUACUUUCUAUUUAAUUUAUUAAAAAUUGUUAGUCUAUUUGGAGAUGAUUUUUUUUUUUCAUAUGUAAUAAGAUACCAACAAAUUGAGUGAGGAGCACAUCUUACUAAGUCGCUUGUCAAUCUAUCCACCUUCCUAAUCUCAAGAUUCUUCAUGUUUGAAUUAAAAUACCAUGAAUUACAAAAACAAAAAAUGAUGAAAAUGAGUAUUUCUCAUCAUCUUCAUUUUUAUUAGAAGGCAAUUUGUAGCAUCCUCUUUCCCAUUCCUAAAAAAUACUACAGCUUUGUAGGUUGAGAAAUUAGACAUGUUUUCUUAAAUGAUCUUCUUGGUCCAUGCAUGCUUAUAUUUGGAAGAUUUUUAAACCAAGUAUUUUAUGACAUAUAUGAUAGCUUUCAAGUUAAUGCAUAAAUGGUGAUGGUUAGGAUGCAAAAUAUAGUCUAUGCUCAACCUAUUUAUUGACAAACUACCAAGGGCUAGUGCUAAGGUAAACACCUAACACUUGCAUCAUACUCUCUCUUCUCUGCUCUCUUUAUUUGUUUUCCAAAGUUCAUAUAUAAUGUCUUUAUCAUUCAAGUUUUCAUUUUCAACCACUUUUUAAACUUUUGUCUUUUUAUGGUUUAUUACACGACAAUCCAUUUCUAAUAAAUCUUAUCUUUUUGUCUUAUAGACAAUAGAACAACGUGGUAAUUGCAUGACAUACAAUUUGUAAUAGAUGGUCAACUAUAUAUUAAGUAAUCUUUAAUUGCCUUGGAGUUGAAACGUUUGAUGUUGAUAAGGUUUGAUAAUUCUCGCUUUGGUGCUUUGUUGGAUUUCAAUUCAGGUGAUUAAUUGAUCUUGUUAUGAUUCUUUGAUUGUUUUUAUAACUAUUGUGAUAAUCAUUCUUAUUUUAUCGUGGUAAUUGACUUCACUGACUUUUUAACAAUUAUAUCAUGAGUGAAAUGCCCAACCUAUUAUUGUUAGUAUUCCAUUAACAUACCUCUAAUGCCACCACUAAUAAACAUCGUGUAUUAAUAUUUAUAACACGUUUCAUUACUGAAAUAAUUAAAUAUUUUCAAAUUUCUUUUUAGAGUGUGAGAAAUAACCAUUAAUCUUUACAACAGCAUAAGUAUCAUUGAUUUGAUAUUGCUUUCUUGAGUAAUUUGGCAAUUUAAUUAUGAAGUUUAGUUGGACAUUACUUGAGAUUCAUGUCUUAUGUAUAUGGUCUAUUUUCCAAGCUUCAAUUAUAUUUAGUAGACUUGUAAGUGGUGUUUGUCUAUGAGUUUCAACUCUAGAAAACUAUUAUUGGAGCCUAAGUUCACUUUCAAUAAGGAAAAAAAAAAAAAAACUCAACCUUUUCCUCAAUUGUGUAAUUUUAUUCACUAUUGACAUGCCCUUAAAUGGCAUUGCUAUUAUUUGUAGGGAACAUUGUCAAGUUCCAUAUUUGUCUAGAAAGUUAGAAGAAGUAUUUAAUUUGACAUGGUUUGGACAUCUUGCUACUAUCUUUUUAAAUUAGUUAUCAAUAAUUUUUCAAAGUUGACCUUUUUGUUUAUCUCAUACUCCUUUUGUAUUAAAAGGUACCGCAUGGGUAUUGUGUAGAGGAAUCAUGCCUUCUUUAAUUGAGGUGAGCCUCUUGCAAAAUAUUUCAAGUUUGCUCUCAUUCCAUUUGUUACUUCAUGUCUAUUUUUUUGUAAUCAAUCAAGCAAGAGUUUCUUACUUGUACAAUGGUGAACUUGCUUGCAUGAAUAAUACUCUUUUUACUAUUUUUUUUCUUUCUUUAUUAUAUUCAUUGAUACACUUAGAAGUGAAUAGUGAACCAGGUUUUUUGUUAAAAGAAAUCAAAUAUUGGUAAUUAUUUAGUAUCAUGUAUAUAAUAAUCAAUUAUUGAUUGUAAAGAUACUUGGCUUAAUCAAUUAUUAUAUUGAAAUCAAUGUAGUACUAUGACUAAUACCAAAAGGAUAAUAUUUAGUCUUGUUUGACCAUUAGUCACUAUUCUAGAGACAAAUGCUCACAAGUUUUGCAUCUUUGAAGCAUAUGAGAAAAGUUGGUUCAACUAUAUCACCAACUUACAAGCUCCUUAUAGUGUCCAUAUAUAUAACCUUCGUUGUUCAGGUUUAUGAUUCAUAUCUCAUUUUUUUUUUUCAUAUUUUUAUUGUUUAUAAUUUUUUAAUUGAUUUGUUUAUAAAUUUUUAAACUUUAUUGGCAAUACUAAUUUUUUUUUUUUAUUCUCAUGUGCAAUGGAAUAAUAAGUUGAAUAAGAAGCAUAAACUACUUAAUUGGUAUAACUGUUUACUCAAUUCUCUUCUCAGAUAUUUUUGUUCAAGGUAAUCAAAGUAUCAUUCUUUUUAUUUUUAAAGGUACUUGAACUCAGUGAGGACCAUUCCCAAAACAAGCAAUAACUACAGUUGGAUUAUUGAUAUCAUAUCCUUGAUUGACAUCUAUGCCAUUAUAUUUGCAUCUAAAGGAUUUAUGAUGAAAAAAAUAUCUUCUUUAUUUCCAUUUUCCUUCCUUCUUUUGACCAUAAUUUGUGUGCUUAUUGAUAGCAUUCAUACCCUAAUAUAUUUGCUAGCAUAUAUAUGCAUGUCAUAAUCUAUUGAUUUUUUUAGCAUAAGGUCUUAGAGUAUUCACAUAUCUCUAGGUUCUAUAUAUUUAUAAUUUUUACAACAUCAAAUGAAGUAUAUGAACCUUAUCUUGAAGGUGAAGUCUCUUUAAAAGGAGUUUCAACAUGUUAGCAAUUACCUAACUUAAUAAUUUAACAAUUUGGCACUAUAUAUAAUUUUGCAACUCUUUCAUAAAGUAAUUGUGUUACCUUUAUUCACAAUUUCUAUCUUUAUUUAAAAAAAAAAAAUGAAUUGGUAAUUGUGUGUCAAAUCUUGCUUACAAUCAUUAAUAGGUACUUAUAUGCUAAAUGGAUAAAGUUAUUUUACAAUUGUUUCAACAUUUUUAGAAUAUAUAUAUAUAUAGAUGUAAUCACUACCAAGCCAAUGCGAAAAGCUAUAACAAUGAGGAUUACAAAGCUUCAAUUAUGUCUUGGAGAUUCAUAUUGACAAGUUGUAAAUGGUGGGUGAAGUCUCUUUAAAAGGAGCUUCAACAUGUUAGCAGUUACCAAACUUAAGAAUCUAACAACUUGGCACUAUAUAUCAUUUUGCAACUCUUUCAUAAAGUAAUUGUGUAACCUCUAUUCACAUGUUCUAUCUUUAAUUUUUUUUAAAAAAAAAAGAAAUUGAAUUGGUAAUUGUGUGUUGAAUCAUUCUUACAAUAUUUAAUAGGUACUUAUACACUAAAUUGAUAAAGUUAUUUUACAAUUGUUUCAACAUGUUCUGAAAACAAAAAAGAUUAAUAAGUAUAUUUUUUCUAAAUGUAAUCACUACCAAGCCAAUGUGAAAAGCUAUAACAAUGAGGCUUACAAAACUUCAACUAUGUUUUGGAGAUUCAUAUUGAAAGUUGUAGAUUAUGGAUGUAUAGUAUAGGAGUUAGAUUGAGUUUAUCAUUCUAUCUUUGACAUCUUAGUUUUCUAUGUAUUGUCCAUCAUAUAUAUUUGUCAUCUAUUCUUUACAACCAAUUUUUUAAGGACUUCUAUGAUUUGUUUAAAUUUAUAUAUUUGUUUUUAUUUGUACUAGAACUUCACCAAGCUACAAAAGCAUCACAAGUUUUGCAAUUGGAGUUCAUGGAUCAGGUAUUUUAGUAGUUUUUGUAUCUGAAAUUUUUUUAUGAUACUAAUGAGGAUGUUUACCUUGAUUAAUUUAACACUUAUAUUGCAAAUAUCUAUAUAGGAGUUCUAUACAUUUAUUUAAACAUUUAUAGACAUAUUUAUCCUCUUUCUAGCACAUUCUAAUGAUAUUUUUAACAUUGAUAUAAAUUGUUUGCUUGAAGGUUUCAACUAUUGAAAAUUAUUAUUCAAGCCUAAUGUUAAUCUUUUUCUAUAGUGGAUUUCAAAUAAUAAAUUCUUAUUUGAUUAUUUGUAGGGAAAAUAAACAACUUCUAUGUUUGAUAAGAAAGAAGAUAGAGU
rnacentral:lncRNA from 1 species